rnacentral:rRNA from 1 species
GUGGGGAAUCUUAGACAAUGGGCGCAAGCCUGAUCUAGCCAUGCCGCGUGAGCGAUGAAGGCCUUAGGGUUGUAAAGCACUUUCGUGGGGGAAGAUAAUGACUGUACCCCAAGAAGAAGCCCCGGCUAACUCCGUGCCAGCAGCCGCGGUAAUACGGAGGGGGCUAGCGUUGUUCGGAAUUACUGGGCGUAAAGCGCACGUAGGCGGACUGGAAAGUCAGGGGUGAAAUCCCGGGGCUCAACCCCGGAACUGCCUUUGAAACUCCCAGUCUUGAGUUCGAGAGAGGUGGGUGGAAUUCCGAGUGUAGAGGUGAAAUUCGUAGAUAUUCGGAGGAACACCAGUGGCGAAGGCGGCUCACUGGCUCGAUACUGACGCUGAGGUGCGAAAGCGUGGGGAGCAAACAGGAUUAGAAACCCCUGUAGUCC